GGGCUAAUACCGGAUGGUUGUUUGAACCGCAUGGUUCAAACAUAAAAGGUGGCUUCGGCUACCACUUACAGAUGGACCCGCGGCGCAUUAGCUAGUUGGUGAGGUAACGGCUCACCAAGGCAACGAUGCGUAGCCGACCUGAGAGGGUGAUCGGCCACACUGGGACUGAGACACGGCCCAGACUCCUACGGGAGGCAGCAGUAGGGAAUCUUCCGCAAUGGACGAAAGUCUGACGGAGCAACGCCGCGUGAGUGAUGAAGGUUUUCGGAUCGUAAAGCUCUGUUGUUAGGGAAGAACAAGUACCGUUCGAAUAGGGCGGUACCUUGACGGUACCUAACCAGAAAGCCACGGCUAACUACGUGCCAGCAGCCGCGGUAAUACGUAGGUGGCAAGCGUUGUCCGGAAUUAUUGGGCGUAAAGGGCUCGCAGGCGGUUUCUUAAGUCUGAUGUGAAAGCCCCCGGCUCAACCGGGGAGGGUCAUUGGAAACUGGGGAACUUGA
rnacentral:rRNA from 2 species